UCCCCAGGGGGCUACCAACCCCUCAAGUCCCCUGCAGUCUAGGUACCGGCCAAAACCCCAGCAGCCUUCCUACCCUUCAAAUCCCCUGCAGUCUAGGUUCUGGCCAAAACUCCAGAAUCCUGCCUACCCUUCAAAUCCUCAGCAGGCCAAGCCUCAGCAGGCCAAACCCCUGCAAGGGGUGCUUCAAAGUAAAGCUGGCAUGUGGGACAUUCCUUCCGAAGGAAGUGUUGCUGCUGGCUCUAAUGGGCAGGCCAAGCCCUACCAUCCAGCAUACCCUUUGAAUCCCCAGCGGGCUACCAACCCCUCAAGUCCCCUGCAGUCUAGGUACCGGCCAAAACCCCAGCAGCCUUCCUACCCUUCAAAUCCCCUGCUGUCUAGGUACCGGCCAAAACCCCAGCAUCCUGCCUACCCUUCAAAUCCUCAGCAUGCCAAGCCUCAGCAGGCUGAACCCCUGCAAGGGGUGCUCCAAAGUAAAGCUGGCAUGUGGGACAUUCCUUCCGAAGGAAGUGUUGCUUCUGGCUCUAAUGUGCAGCCCACUGACUCCAACUCGCACUUGAAUGUUGACCCAAGAAGUUUGAGAGAAAUUCCAAUGUCAUUCCUGUACCAGCCCAGGUGGCAACAGCAACUGGUGCCAGUGUAGAACAGACAUCAUUGACCUUCCUAACUGUUCCUGGACUUGCCUGGAAGCAGUCUGAACUGGCAUCAACUUUGAAUUUAAUAAAAUACUUGGAACACA